AAAGAUCUGUAGCUCAGCCCAGCUACUGUAGAAUUGUUUUGGUAUGUUGUCGCCCAGAAUCUUGAUAUGAACUGCUUUAUAAUGUAGACUGUAUGAAGAACAGCAAAGGAUUGUAUUAGUGUGAAUCUGUAGGAGGAGAUAAAGAGAUAAAAAUGGCAGCUGCAAGAAACACUGAGUUUAACCUCAUUGGACCCCGUGGUGCUUCCUUAGGAGAGCAUCAGCCUGGCUCUGCGGUCACUCUCUCCUGUCACCUGUCUCCUGAAAUCAGUGCUGUUGCCAUGGAGAUCAGGUGGUUUAAGGGGACGGACUGUGUUUGUCUCUAUAAGAACAGGCAGGUGACAGAGGGGAGGGGCCUACGAGGGCAGAGUGAGUCUGUUCACUCAGGAGCUGCAGAGAGGAAACGUCUCCUUACAGAUCAGAGACUGUAGAUGAGUCAGAUAGAGGAGAUUAUCUGUGUCAGGUCACCAAUGGAGACACAACAGAGGAGUGUACAGUAGAAAUGAGGGACGCAAUGGGGGAGCGUUCCGAGAAAGAAACACCUAGAGGUGAGAAAUUGGUAAGUAAAGUACAUUUACUCCUACUGAAAGCUGAUACAUGGAUAACAUUUGAAGAAAGCAGAUUUUUGUAAUGGUCAGAUAAUGAACAAAGACUUUGAUCAGAGAAUGAAAGCUUUGAUUUCUUGAAGUUAUUUUUAGUUUUUCAUGUGUAACUUGUCGCCUCAAGCAUGAAAUCUCCAGGCUGUUUUAUUCAGUUCUACAGUCUGUAAUAAGACAGAUAAGAGAGGAGAGAAUGAAGAGGGAGAAGUGAAAGGCGCACUGAAAUAUAGAUUCUGAUAUUUGUAAACAUUGAUUCUACAUAAAUAAACUUUAUUACAUUAAUUACAUUAAUUUUAGUUUUUCCCCCUCACAGUCCAGUAUUCAGUAUCCAGUAUUUAAUAUAAAUGGACAGAGAUGGAUUGCAUAGCAUUUUUUGCAAUCAGAUCAGAGAGACAAACUUCUGCCCUCAUUACUUUUUUCUACUCAAAUGUUUAAAACAAUAAAAUGUCCUUUGUAUUACAAAAGUUAAUUUAUGUACAACAUAUGAACUGAACGAUAAGCCAGUCUGGGUUAAUCUCAUUAGGAAAUGACAGAAUCAGGUGUAAUAAUGAACACAAGGCUGUAAUGUGAGUGAGAAGCUCUGAAAGCUCUCGAGAGAAGCAGUUGGGCUGCUAGCAGAGAAGAUGGAA